rnacentral:rRNA from 1 species
AUUGAACGCUGGCGGCAGGCCUAACACAUGCAAGUCGAGCGGAUGAAGGGAGCUUGCUCCUGGAUUCAACGGCGGACGGGUGAGUAAUGCCUAGGAAUCUGCCUGGUAGUGGGGGAUAACGUCCGGAAACGGGCGCUAAUACCGCAUACGUCCUGAGGGAGAAAGUGGGGGAUCUUCGGACCUCACGCUAUCAAAUGAGCCUAGGUCGGAUUAGCUAGUUGGUGGGGUAAAGGCCUACCAAGGCGACGAUCCGUAACUGGUCUGAGAGGAUGAUCAGUCACACUGGAACUGAGACACGGUCCAGACUCCUACGGGAGGCAGCAGUGGGGAAUAUUGGACAAUGGGCGAAAGCCUGAUCCAGCCAUGCCGCGUGUGUGAAGAAGGUCUUCGGAUUGUAAAGCACUUUAAGUUGGGAGGAAGGGCAGUAAGUUAAUACCUUGCUGUUUUGACGUUACCAACAGAAUAAGCACCGGCUAACUUCGUG